ensembl:lncRNA
CAUCGCCUCGCUGCCAGCAAGCUUUGUGCCGGGGUGGUCAGAGCCCGAGCUGUGACGUUAGAGCCCAACUCCCUCCUAUCUGGGCAUGAAGCAGAGCAAAGCCCUGCGGGAGGAGAGGAGCUGCAGCUGCUCAGGGUUCCCAGGACCAUGUUGUGCUGUGCACACAGCAGAUGUGAGGCAUUACCCACACAGCACCAGCUGAGCCACAAAGACCAAGGAGGAUGAACAUGGCUUUCCAGCAUCACGAGGCCACCAGCACCUGCGCUGCCCCAGCCAAGCCUGAAAUGCAAAGGGAAAACAAUGCAAAUGGCAAAUACUCCACAGAUUCUGCAGCUUGCUUUGAGUGGCAAUAAUGCCAUUAACAAAUAAAUUCAUUAACAGCACAGAGCCUGUCCCAGCACCUUGGGUCUGCGUUUGCCAUGCGGGCUCUUGGAUGGCUCCAUGAGCAGUGCAGACAGCUGCGCCCGCAGAGAUGUCGUGGAAACAAAGGCAGCAAAAUAAGAUUUGGAAUUUGCUUUGAAAUUCUGCCUUGGAUCUUCAGGGAAAAAAAAAAAAAAAGGAAAGAAAGAAAGAAAAAAACCAACAGAAAAACAAAACAGAUGUGUGGUGUUUUUUAUUCUUUUUCUCAUGGAGGCUAACUGCCCCCCGCUCACUAAAGCAGGUGAAGGCAGCAGAGCCCAGAGCUUGGUGAUCCCCUGGUUCCCAGUGCUAAGAGCUCAGUGCUGUGUGGGUCUGACAGAGAGAUCUGAGGAGCCCAAGGCUUCUUGCUCACAUCGCCACGCACUUCAGAAAGAGAUCUGAGCAAUAACACAACAACAACAUGUGCAACUACUUAGAAGUCAAUUAAUAUCAGAGGAAGGACCCUUGUUGAAUCCAGCAGAAAGAAUGAUGGUUACAUUUCCGGAAUAAUGGCUGAAAUUUGCCAUUGUGUGUCAUCAGGAAUCAUUUAAAAUAGUUUUGAUCUCAGCUCUUUCUGUCGGGGCUCUAAUGAAUUAACAGAUGACAGAUUUCCGUAAUGAAAGGCUGUGUUUUAAAGACAAGCCGACAUUGUUUUCCCUGUACUACUCAUAUAAUUUGGGAUGUUUAAAAAUAAUUACAGCACAAGAUGAAUACCUUACAAGGUUUCAGAUAUUUCACACAUGCUGAGCCUUCCUCCUGCACAGGUUUUAGGGGCUGCACCCAAUCAACAUCCAAGUUCCAACACCCAGCAUCUAACAUCCAACUUCUGACAUUCAACUUCCAACACUCAAUUUCCAACACCCAACUUCCAAUAUCCAAUAUCCAACAUCUGACUUCCAACACCCAGCUUCCAAUAUCCGACACCUGACUUCCAACAUCCAACUACCAAUACCCAACACCUGAAUUCCAACACCCAACUUCCAACAUCCAACUACCAAUACCCAACACCUGACUUCCAACACCCAACUUCCAACAUCCAACUUUCAACACCCAGCAUCCAAUAUCCAACAUCUGACUUCCGACAUCUGACUACCAACAUCCAACAUCUGAUUUCCAACACCCAACAUCCAGCUGACAUCCUCACAGCCCAAGUACCACCAUCCAGAGCUCCAGCAAGAAAGAAAGAGUCCCUGCUGCCCCACAGCCCUACAAGCCCUAAAAGCCCCCACAGAGCCCACGAGGUGGGUGCAAAAGGCAACGACCGGUGCAGCGAUGUCCUCCGCAGCGCUCUCCUCAUUAGCUCGGUGCUGGAUCACAUUUUUGUGCAGUGCAAAGGGACCACAAAGGCAUAUUAUAUUCAAUGUUAAGUAAACAAACUUUUGAAACGGACUUUUAUUGAUUCCAUACGGCCAUCUGGCUUGGAGGAAAAAGCCCCCUCCCUCCUCCCCCUCCCUGUGAAAAUAUUCGAAGGCUGGGGGCUGGCAGCGGCUCAGCGUGGCUGCAAACCACCUAGUUUCCUCUGCGGUUAACAACACAGGAAAACGUCGAACUCUCAGAUAAAUGUUGGAGGCUUAUUUGGUUCACCCAUCUGGUAGCCAGCCUGUUCUGUGAAAAUUAAAGAUAUACAUAUGCAAAUAUUCACAGUCUGCU